UGCCCAGCAACUCCUAUCCCUACCUCCUCGCGGUACCGGCCGGAAACUAUGAGCAACCUUAGGGAAGA
rfam:Aedes albopictus isolate Foshan contig51222, whole genome shotgun sequence.